rnacentral:rRNA from 1 species
GAUCCUGGCUCAGGAUGAACGCUAGCUACAGGCUUAACACAUGCAAGUCGAGGGGCAGCAUGAACUUAGCUUGCUAAGUUUGAUGGCGACCGGCGCACGGGUGAGUAACACGUAUCCAACCUGCCGAUGACUCGGGGAGUAGCCUUUCGAAAGAAAGAUAAUACCGACUGGCGAUAGUUCUUUCCGUCCAUGGUAGGAACUAAUUAAAGUAAAAUUUAACGGUUACCGUAUCGAUGGGAGUGCGGUUCCUACUUAGGUUUGG